rnacentral:lncRNA from 1 species
AGAAAAUAAAAAGUUUACAAAAUAAGUAAUUGGACCUUAAUGUCAUUUUAUUAAGUUAAUCUACAUACAAGAUAUUCUGCAAACUCAGUCACUUUCCUCACCUGUUAGAAUAGAUUGAUGGUAGGGUUUUUUUUUUUUGAGACAGAGUUUCACUCUUGUUGCUCAGGCUGGAGUGCAAUGGCAUGAUCUCGGCUCACUGCAACCUCCACCUCCCUGGUUCAAGCAAUUCUCCUGCCUCAGCCUCCCGCGUAGCUCAGAUUACAGGCAUGCUCCAUCACACCCGGCUAAUUUUGUAUUUUCAGUAGAGACAGGGUUUCUCCAUGUUGGUCAAGCUGGUCUCAAACUCCUGACCUCAGGUGAUCCACCCGUCUUGGCCUCCCAAAGUGCUCGGAUUACAGGUGUGAGGCACUGCACCCAGCCUAUUCAUAGUAGGUUUCUAUAUGAGUUGCUUUUCAUUGAAGAACAAACAUCUUCCCAGGACUUCGGUCUUUAAAAAUGAGACAAACGUUAGUAGCAAACAUAGGGACCUUUGAUGCAGUAAAUCACACCCAAUAACCACAAAUAACAGUUCAUUCACUCAUUCAGCAAGCUCUGUCAUCAUGAACCAUGUGCCAUGUCCUGUGUCAUACACUAACAAUGAAAAGAUCUACCCUCAAGAGAUGAACCAACCAAUAUUUUCACCUCAAGAGCAGUGGAAUCAGAAAAGCCUCCUUGACCUUGACCAGCUGAACCUUUCCUGGGUUAUCCCACAGCAUUCUGUAUCCCACAGCACUCUGUACCUGUCACACUGAACUGUAUUUGUUGGUUUCCUCACAUCUAUAUCACCUCACAAGAGAUAUUUGCCAAUAACUAUGCAGGGUCUGAGAUUCCACCUUAUCUGUAAGCUAACAGGUUAGCCUGUUACUGUUUCAUGGGUGCUAGCAGAAGACAUGAGACACCUGGGCCAGAGACAAAAGGUGUCUCUGGCAAAAGGAGUAGUCAAACUUCAUGUUAAUUUUUGUUGGUUCCUCAUUGCCCCCGUCUCAGAGUGGUAAUUCAAAGAGUCCUGUACAUGCUGUGGGCUUUAUUACAGGGAAGGAACACUGAGCUGAGUGUUCCUUUGUUACCAGAAAGGAACACUGAGCUGAGUGCAUGCCCUCAGCUCAGUGUUCCUUUUUCAGUAAGAGUAAGUUCCUUGAGUAAGUAGAAGCAACCCUGGGGGAGAUAUUACCUCAUCCCUCAGGGUUGCUUGCUGGAAACACAACUAUGAGAAAUUCAGACAAAGAGCAGUCAGAGCCUUGCAUUCUUGACAUACCCAUCAGGAGCAGUCUGGGCCACUGCAAUUCAGCUCUCCCAACAAUAUUCUGAAAGGCAGGCACUGUGUUGUAGGCAUUUCUGUACCCUCAGCACCUGACAUGAUGCAUGAUACACCUGAUUCCUUAGUGUUUGUGUGGCCCCAGAAGGCAGGAACCACUUCUGCUACAAGUUGGCAAACAAGCAUGCCUAGAAGAUUCAUAAUCAGCGCUGCAUGCAGAAGCUGCCCCAAGAUGAGUGGGAUCACACCCUGGAUGCCUAGGAAGCUUUCUGGCCCCAUGGAAAACCCUAACCAGGUCCUGCUGGGUCUGCAUGCCCUGGGUUAUGGCCACACAGACCCACAUUCUCUGUGACUGUCUACACAAGGAGGUGAAAUGCAUCAAGAAGGAAAACCACCUGACCAACUUCCAUAGGCCAAAAGACUCACCCUCCAACACAACUGGGAGCCUCACAGUGCAGUGCCCUGAGGCCUGGCUGCAGCUCCCAAGCCUUGGGGCUUCUGUCCAGGUGCCUGCCUCCAGCCCAAAGGCAGCUUCUUAACCAACCACAAACCUUCUCUGAAGCUGCAGACCAAGUGUAAACAACACAGCUUCUUUUUUUGCAGAAACAAAAAAUGUGUAUCUUAGACAGUGAUAUACAAUAAACAUAGUUUUUUUUAGUUUCAGAUAAUCAACAAUAUAUUUCGAUUUUAAUGAACAGUAUCAAGUGCAAAAAAUUCCAACCUUGAAGCCAGGCAUACUUAAGUUUGAAUCCUGAUUCUGCUACCUAAGAGAUAUGAGAAUUUUGUACAAAUUGUUGAACUUUAUUUCUAAGGCUUAGUUUCUACAUGUAUAGAAUAGAGAUAAUGAAACCUAC